rnacentral:tRNA from 1 species
GCCUGGCUGGCUCAGUCAGUUAAGCCUCUGACUUCAGCUCAGGUCAUGAUCUCAUGGUCUGUGGGUUCGAGCCCCACGUCAGGCU